UGUACAACUUUUAUUUUGAAGAAAAAAGUUGAGCCUCAGAACGGGCUGUUUUAAAGACAGGGAGGGACUUAGCUUUUCCGAGCUUGACCAGCAUGUGGAAGGAGUGCUCUCAUGGCUGCAAUAACCUAGGGAGCUCCUACCUGGGUGCCACGCGGGUAGGAAGGUUUCUGUUUGUUUUGUUCUGUUCCUGAGGGUCCUGUGCACUUCUCUUGUCCAUGUCAACGUGACUCGGUGUUUUUGCACACCCUGCUCUGUGGGGGAGUGCCCCAACGUGCCUGUCUUAUGUGGCCUCUAUGGACACACUGCUCAGCUGGCAGAGAGCAGGGAAGUUUUCUCGAGCAUCCAAAAAGAGAAAGAGAAAACUACUUUUUCCUUCUGGGCUCCUUGCAGCACAAUAGAUCAGGAUAAGCGUCCACAUUCUCUCCCUGGAUUUCUGGAGUGGUUUCCAGGAACAAGUUAAACUUUCACCUUUAAAUGGAUGACCAUGUCACAAUCAGGAGGAAACAUCUCCAAAGACCCAUCUUUAGACUAAGAUGCUUAGUGAAGCAGCUGGAAAAAGGUGAUGUUAACAUCGUAGACUUAAAGAAGAAUAUUGAAUAUGCAGCAUCUGUUCUGGAAGCAGUUUACAUCGAUGAAACAAGAAGACUGCUGGAUACUGAUGAUGAGCUCAGUGACAUUCAGUCGGAUUCGGUCCCAUCAGAAGUCCGGGACUGGUUGGCUUCUACCUUUACACGGAAAAUGGGGAUGAUGAAAAAGAAAUCUGAGGAAAAACCAAGAUUUCGGAGCAUUGUGCAUGCUGUUCAAGCUGGAAUUUUUGUGGAAAGAAUGUACAGAAAAUCCUAUCACAUGGUUGGGUUGGCAUAUCCAGAAGCUGUCAUAGUAACAUUAAAGGAUGUUGAUAAAUGGUCUUUUGAUGUAUUUGCCUUGAAUGAAGCAAGUGGAGAACAUAGUCUGAAGUUUAUGAUUUAUGAACUAUUUACCAGAUAUGAUCUUAUCAACCGUUUCAAGAUUCCUGUUUCUUGCCUAAUUGCCUUUGCAGAAGCUUUAGAAGUUGGUUACAGCAAGUACAAAAAUCCAUAUCACAAUUUGAUUCAUGCAGCUGAUGUCACUCAAACUGUGCAUUACAUAAUGCUUCAUACAGGUAUCAUGCAUUGGCUCACUGAACUGGAAACUUUAGCAAUGGUCUUUGCCGCUGCCAUUCAUGAUUAUGAGCAUACGGGAACUACAAACAAUUUUCAUAUUCAGACAAGGUCAGAUGUUGCCAUUUUGUAUAAUGAUCGCUCCGUCCUUGAAAAUCACCAUGUGAGUGCAGCUUAUCGACUUAUGCAAGAAGAAGAAAUGAAUGUCCUGGUAAAUUUAUCCAAAGAUGACUGGAGGGAUCUUCGGAACCUAGUGAUUGAAAUGGUUUUGUCUACAGACAUGUCGGGUCACUUCCAGCAAAUUAAAAAUAUAAGAAACAGUUUGCAGCAGCCUGAAGGGCUUGACAAAGCCAAAACCAUGUCCCUGAUCCUCCAUGCAGCAGACAUCAGUCACCCAGCCAAAUCCUGGCAGCUGCACCACCGAUGGACCAUGGCCCUGAUGGAGGAGUUUUUCCUACAGGGAGAUAAAGAAGCUGAAUUAGGGCUUCCAUUUUCCCCACUUUGUGAUCGGAAGUCAACGAUGGUGGCCCAGUCCCAAAUAGGUUUCAUUGAUUUCAUAGUAGAGCCAACAUUUUCUCUUCUGACAGACUCAACAGAGAAAAUUAUUAUUCCUCUUAUAGAGGAAGACUCAAAAACCAAAACUCCUUCCUAUGGAGCAAGCAGACGAUCAAAUAUGAAAGGCACCGUGAAUGAUGGAACCUAUUCCCCAGACUACUCCCUUGCAAGCGUGGACCUGAAGAGCUUCAAAAACAACCUGGUGGACAUCAUCCAGCAGAACAAAGAGAGGUGGAAAGAGUUAGCUGCUCAAGGUGAGCCUGAUCUUCAUAAGAAUUCAGAAGAUCUAGUAAGUGCCGAAGAAAAACAUGCUGAGACACAUUCAUAGGUUUGAAACACCUUAAAGGCUUCUGUCAUUUUAAACAUGAGAGGUGAAUGGAUAAAGAAGAUGUGGCACAUAUAUACAAUGGAAUAUAACUCAGCCAUAAAAAGAAACGAAAUUGAGUUAUUUGUAGUGAGGUGGAUGGACCUAGAGACUGUCAUACAGAGUGAAGAUAAUGAGAACAGCACUAAAAUAUCCUAAAUCCUCAAUUUUCCACAAACCUAUAUUCUCCUCUUUCAACACACACUUGGAAACAGGCCAUUUUAUGGACUCAUAUAAGAGAAGAACAUAAAUUCUGAACUAGUAAUUCUAGCCAAAUAAAUACACUCAAAGUUGCUACCAGAGAUUUUGGCCAGUGCUUCUGCCAUUGCUCUUCCUCCACAAUUUGGCCUUCUUCAAUCAAGCCAGAGAAAAUUUUAAGACAAAAGUUGGACAGUCUUAAUUUUUCAUCAGUUUGAGCCCAGUUAUUGCAUAGGCAACUAUGCAAUAUGUGUGCAGAAGAUGAGGCAUUUUAAAGUGUUACUUUCUUGCUUUGUUUUAUACAGAGUGCUGUAACUACAGUAAAUUUUUUAAGAUGUUAAGUAAAAGGAAAGCAAAAACAAAAUUAUAGAAAAAUAUUUUUUGCAGCUCUGAGGCUAUUUAGAUUGUCCUUGUUAUUUUAAAUACAUGGGAACAAAGUGAGAACCUGGGCUGCUCAGAAGCUGUGGUUGAAGUCCUAUGACAACAAUGGAGCAUCAGAGCCCUGGCUCUGUGACCUGAUGAACUCUUCAUUGUAACUCUCAAGCUGGGAAACCACAGUGAAACCUGCCCCUGAAAGCAGUGGACCAGCCUGCAUCCAUCCCUGUGAUUUCAAAACACUAAUGCAUCACCUACAUGGGUGUCAUCACAAUGCAAGUCACACAUUACCUACGAUCCAAGAUGACAAGAACCUCCAGCCAUUGUUGGAGACAGACACUAGAACUGAGAAUGGAAUUUGCCUUCUGGGGUGUUGAUCCCAUCAGGAUGUAACAAAAUAUACCACAGGCCAAGGGAUAAGUGACAAGAAGUGUGUGUGCGUGCGUGUCUGUGUGUGUAUUCAAAAAUGUCUAUGAAAAUGGAAUCCCACACUUUUCUGUACAGAUAAUGUUAUUUGACGUGGAGUUUAUAAUUUUACCACACAGAAACAAACUGCAACCCUUGGAGACUCUGCUUCCUUGUCAUGUUUUGCCUGAGCAUGUGCAGAGCCUUGCCUUUGCUCCAAACUGAAGAGCUACAUUUAUUUGUUAUUAGCUGACAAGAAAGGUCAAGCACAAGUAGGUGUUGUAACUUUUCACUGUACAAACUCUUCAAUGAUUGUGAGACUAAGCGAAUUUGUCUUUGUGAAUGGUAGAACUGGGUGGAAAAAAUUGAGUAGCCAUCAAUUAAAGAAUAAAGUGAAGGUGGGUUGUCCAUCCUAAUGAGUUUUCUGUUGCACAUGCUUCUUCCCUGGGUUCCACAAUGCUAAGCAAUAUUUUAGAAAUGGAUGCAAUCACAAGCUUUUAAGUCUAAGUAGUGGGAUUUUAUAACUCACAACUUAGAUCUCUUUUCAUGUGUAAGCCAUAUUCUAUCUGCAUAUUAGGUAUGCAUUUUAAUUUAAGAUAUAUUUGUGCAUAGACUGUGUAUAAGAUGCUUUUAAAUGUUCUGUGAAUAAGUUCCUUAGAUUUUGUUUCACCUGAAGCAUAUGUAGAACACAGCUAAAUAACU